AGAGUUGAUCCUGGCUCAGAACGAACGCUGGCGGCAGGCCUAACACAUGCAAGUCGAGCGAACCCUUCGGGGUUAGCGGCGGACGGGUGAGUAACGCGUGGGGACGUGCCCUUUUCUACGGAAUAGUCCUGGGAAACCGGGGGUAAUACCGUAUACGCCCAUUAUCCUUGGCGGGUUUUGGGGAAAGAUUUAUCGGAGAAGGAUCGACCCGCGUUGGAUUAGGUAGUUGGUGGGGUAAUGGCCUACCAAGCCGACGAUCCAUAGCUGGUUUGAGAGGAUGAUCAGCCACACUGGGACUGAGACACGGCCCAGACUCCUACGGGAGGCAGCAGUGGGGAAUCUUGGACAAUGGGGGCAACCCUGAUCCAGCCAUGCCGCGUGAGUGAAGAAGGCCCUAGGGUUGUAAAGCUCUUUCAGCUGUGAAGAUAAUGACUGUAGCAGCAGAAGAAGCCCCGGCUAACUCCGUGCCAGCAGCCGCGGUAAUACGGAGGGGGCUAGCGUUGUUCGGAAUUACUGGGCGUAAAGCGCAUGUAGGCGGAUCAGCAAGUUAGGGGUGAAAUCCCGGGGCCCAACCCCGGAACUGCCCUUAAAACUGUUGGUCUUGAGUUCGAGAGAGGUGAGUGGAAUUCGAGUGUAGAGGUGAAAUUCGUAGAUAUUCGGAGGAACACCAGUGG
rnacentral:rRNA from 1 species